rnacentral:rRNA from 1 species
CCUACGGGAGGCAGCAGUGAGGAAUAUUGGUCAAUGGGCGUGAGUCUGAACCAGCCAAGUCGCGUGAGGGAUGAAGGUUCUAUGGAUGGUAAACCUCUUUUAUGAGGGAAUAAAGUGUGGGACGUGUCCUAUUUUGUAUGUACCUUAUGAAUAAGGAUCGGCUAACGCCGUGCCAGCAGCCGCGGUAAUACGGAGGAUUCGAGCGUUAUCCGGAUUUAUUGGGUUUAAAGGGUGCGUAGGCGGCCUUUUAAGUCAGCGGUGAAAGUCUGUGGCUCAACCAUAGAAUUGCAGUUGAAACUGGGGGGCUUGAGUAUGUUUGAGGCAGGCGGAAUGCGUGGUGUAGCGGUGAAAUGCUUAGAUAUCACGAAGAACCCCGAUUGCGAAGGCAGCCUGCCAAGCCAUGACUGACGCUGAUGCACGAAAGCGUGGGGAUCAAACAGGAUUAGAUACCCCGGUAGUC